UACAAAAUAAUCAAGCCAAUCUAUGCAUAGAUAAACUACUACUAGAAUGAGUAAUAAGGACACUUCCUCUACAAUACAAGCGUAAAUCAGAACGAACCAAUCACUGAUAAUUAAUGAAUACAUUUACCAAAACGAGAAAUUAAUAACAAAAACCAUUAACCCAACACAGGAGUAUUAAAGAAAGACUUAAAGCCUAAGAAGGAACUCGGCAAACCGAGGCUUCGCCUGUUUACCAAAAACAUCGCCUUUUGAAUUAUAAAUAUAAAAGGUCCUGCCUGCCCAGUGACACUUGUUUCAACGGCCGCGGUAUCAUGACCGUGCAAAGGUAGCGUAAUCACUUGUCUUUUAAAUAAAGACCAGUAUGAAUGGCAAGACGAAAGCCUAACUGUCUCCCUAAGCUAAUCAAUGAAAUUGAUCUUCCCGUGCAGAAGCGGGAAUAAUAAUAUAAGACGAGAAGACCCUGUGGAGCUUCAAAAUUAAGCUAACAGAUAUAAUGCCUUAGCAUACAGUUUUAGGUUGGGGCGACCAUGAGGUAAAACAAAACCCUCAAGACGAAAACUAAGAAGGACACUUCAAAUAAAUAAUAAUAUAGUAAUUGACCCAAUAAUUGAUCAACGAACCAAGUUACCCCAGGGAUAACAGCGCAAUCUACUCAAAGAGCCCUUAUCGACGAGCAGGUUUACGACCUCGAUGUUGGAUCAGGACUCCCAAAUAAUGUAACAAUUAUUAAAGGUUCGUUUGUUCAACGAUUAAAGUCCUACGUGAUCUGAGUUCAGACCGGAACAAUCCAGGUCAGUUUCUAUCUAUAAACUAACUUUUCUAGUACGAAAGGACCGAAAAAUUCAGGCCAAUUAACAACUUAAGCCUUACCAACAACCUCUGAAUACAAAUAAAGAGGGUGCAGGAAAAAUAAUAAGU
rnacentral:rRNA from 1 species